UCCCACAAGAGAUGGCCUAGCGGUUGGAGCAAGUGCAUCUGUGUCAAUUGACCCAUGUUCAAAUCCCCUUGCCAACGGUCACUAGGCGGAGCUUGUCACACAUGGCCACCCUAUUGUGGUUUACGUCUGUCAUAUGAUUUACAAGCUAUUAUACGAGAGUGCAUGUUUACCCAGUGGACCUAUAUAGUUGGUUGCGGGUACCUUCAUUACCG
rnacentral:lncRNA from 1 species